CAGGCUGGGCAUAAUGGCACGAUCUCAGCUCACUGCAACCUCUGCCUCCUGGGUUCAAGCGAUUCUCCUGCCUCAGUCUCCUGAGUAGCUGGGACUACAGGUGCAUGUACUUUCUAUAUAAGAUCAUGUUACUUGUGAAUACAGGUCAUUUCGUGUCUUCCUUUACCAUGUGGAUGCCUUUUGUUUCGUUUUCCUGUCCUGGUGCCCUGACUGAAACCUCCAGUUCAAUGUUAAAAAGAAGAGUCUACAAGACUGCAGCUGAGAGCAGAGAACCACAGAAGCAAAUUGCUGAAAGCUCUGUAACUGAGAACCAGAGAUAGAUGUCCCCAGUUCCUCCCCGCAAGACAAGGUGAUGUCCUUGAGCAUGCAUCCUCAGGAGCAGGGGCUGGGUCCCGCUCUUCAGCAGACCCUGCCUGUGGCCUCUUCCCUUUGGGGUCACUUUUCAUCAUGCAACUCUUUUACUGCUUGUAUUUUCAUAUGCUUUGCUUAUGCCUUUUUCUUUAUUAGAAUAAAAAUAUUUUAAGGGUUUGUGUUGGGUAUUAACAAUGCCAAUGAUAUUCUUUGGCAGGAAAUAUCUAAAAUUAGCCACAGAAGGUAUGAUUAUAAAAUAAUAUGAAAGUAUUGAUAUGAUUCAGUUUACAGAAUAUUUUCAGAUUCAUUACAUAAUGACAAAUGAUUCAAUAAGCAUUGUGAGGUUGGUUGUAACCCUGACUUACAGAUAAGAAUCCUGAAAAAUCUGAGGGGCUUAGCCAGAAUCACUCUCACUGAAACUUUCUCUACUGAUUUUCAAGAGAUUGAUGCUUUUUCUCUCUGCAAUGAGCACUCUUAUAGAUGCUGUCAGAAAUGAACUGGACAAGGAUCCUACUACCAGUGGAAUCUACAUUCUAGAGAUGCUGUGCCUACCACUAUGGGAUUUAAGGUGCCAUAAGACAGACUUGCUGGCUAUAGUUUAAUGCAAAAAAAAAAAAGCAUAAAGAGUGGUGACUGUCCAAAUAGUAUGCAGAAAAAAGUUUAAGGAAUAAAAACAAGAAGAUAAGAUUGAAUUAACGUUAGGAUUAUAUAAAAGUUUCAUCUAAGUAGGGCAGAUACAUAUUAUAAAAAAGUAUGUAUUAUAUAUAUAGUAUAUCUCUCUAUACACUAGACACAUGUAUCUAUCUAUACACUAGACACUGACAUGCAUAAUAUAUAUAGUCUAUAUAAAUGCAUAUGCUACACAUACAUAUAUAUUCAUGCAUACAUAAAUGUGUCUAUCUUAAUCCAUUACUUAAUAAAUAACCUUGGAAAAUUUACUUAACCUCCAUUUCUCUCAUCAGUUAAAUGGGGCUGGUAAUAGCACGUUAACUGUAGGGUUUUGUUGGGAAGCUUGAGUGAAGCACUAAAACCACUCUCUGAUCUCGAGUAAGCCCACAAAGUGAAGUCCAUGUUGUUAUUAUCACUGCUGUCAUUACACUGUGCCAGGUCAUGCUCACAAUAAUUUUCCUAUACAAUAAAUUGCAAAUUCCAACAUUUCUAAGCAUCCUCUGCCUUUAUUCUAGGAAUUAUUAAUUUAAAAAUUACAAAAAUUAAGUAAUAAAAUGUAUGAAACAAGAAAAAAAUGACUUUUCUAAGUAAAGUCACUGCCCCUUCCACUGCGGAAUGGAGACUUGAGUUUCUCCAUCUCUCCUCAGUUGGUGUUAUGCCCAGCUUGUCUGCAGAUGAUGUCUCCAUGGCAUAUUCACCCAUACAGGGUCAACAGCUACAAGGAGAAAUUAUAUCUGAGAACUGAUCAGAACUAGUUAUAGCAUCAUGAAACCAAUACAGAUGGUAGUAUGAUCUGCUUACUUUAAGGAUGUUCUUAAAACAGGAUUUUAAAACUGUAUCAUCUUCUCUCCUGCUAGAAGAUAUCAGAAGAGUUAGCCAACACCACAUCAUUAAACUGAAUAACGAGACAGCUAAAGCGAAGUUAUCUGUGUGGGCAGUCAUUUUGGACUGCUCCGUUGAUAGUACCAUAUGUUAGCUACAGUUGGCAUUCUACAAGGAAUUGCAAAUGUUUACAGUUACUCUGAGGGAAAGAUUCUUUGUGUUGUAGCAUUUGGCAUGUGGAGAAGUUUGCCAAGAAAAGAUGACAUGAAAGCAUAUUUUAUCAAGUCUAUUUUUCUGUAGUAUUCCUCCAUAUUUAUAAGACUUUAUAUUUGGAGUGAUUUGGAGACUGAAGAUAAAAUGUUUUCCCCAUCCCUAGCCUUGCCUGUCAUCUUCUGCCUUCCCACCAUCUCUUAGUAAUAGAUCAUUUUGAAAUUUUCAACACUAUAGGGAAGCAACUUCUUUGGAAUUAUGUUCAAUUUGAGUUGCCUGUUCUCUUUCAUGCUCUUUUCAGAAUUUUUAAAAUUACAUUUUUUGUCUUUUCUAAAAUCAAUCGAUAUGUCAACAGGAAAGAAUUUCUUCCCAAG
rnacentral:lncRNA from 10 species